CGGCGAGUGAAGCGGCAACAGCUCAAAUUUGAAAUCUGGCUUCGGCCCGAGUUGUAAUUUGUAGAGGAUGCUUUUGGUGAGGUGCCUUCUGAGUUCCCUGGAACGGGACGCCAGAGAGGGUGAGAGCCCCGUAUAGUUGGACACCGAGCCUCUGUAAAGCUCCUUCGACGAGUCGAGUAGUUUGGGAAUGCUGCUCAAAAUGGGAGGUAUAUCUCUUCUAAAGCUAAAUACUGGCCAGAGACCGAUAGCGCACAAGUAGAGUGAUCGAAAGAUGAAAAGCACUUUGAAAAGAGGGUUAAAUAGUACGUGAAAUUGUUGAAAGGGAAGCGCUUGUGACCAGACUUGUGCCCGGCUGAUCAUCCAGUGUUCUCACUGGUGCACUCUGCCGGGCUCAGGCCAGCGUCGGUUCUCGCAGGGGGACAAAAGCUUCGGGAACGUAGCUCCUCCGGGAGUGUUAUAGCCCGUUGCUCAAUACCCCUGCGGGGACCGAGGUUCGCCAAGGACGCUGGCAUAAUGGUCAUCAGCGGCCCGUCUUGAAACACGGACCAAGGAGUCGAGGUUUUGCGCGAGUGUUUGGGUGUAAAACCCGCACGCGUAAUGAAAGUGAACGUAGGUGAGAGCUUCGGCGCAUCAUCGACCGAUCCUGAUGUAUUCGGAUGGAUUUGAGUAAGAGCGUAUAGCCUCGGACCCGAAAGAUGGUGAACUAUGCCUGAAUAGGGUGAAGCCAGAGGAAACUCUGGUGGAGGCUCGCAGCGGUUCUGACGUGCAAAUCGAUCGUCAAAUUUGGGCAUGGGGGCGAAAG
rnacentral:rRNA from 1 species